rnacentral:tRNA from 1 species
GCCCUCGUAGCUCAGGGGAUAGAGCACAGGAUUCCUAAUCCUGGUACCGCAGGUUCGAUUCCUGCCGGGGGCACCA